UUAAAAAUUUUCUACAUCUUCUGAACACGAACCUCGGGAGGUUCGGGGCAUCCUUAGUUAAAGGCCCUGGUUGUGGUGUUCCCACUUGCUAUUGCGCUUGUGCCCCUCUUGUCUCGAGUCCUAGUUUCACUGUUGGUUGGCUUGUUGCAGGUGCCUGACAGGGAGUCCCUGCUGCGGACCUCCUACAUGGAGGUCUACAACUAGAAGCUGCAUGACCUGAUGAGAACGUUGAACGGCUCCUACUUCCAAAGCCUGCAGCUGAGGGAGAAUUCGGCAUGCCCUUCCUAUUUAUUUGGAACCCUCUUGGCCUACGGGCAGGUGGCAUCGGGAAAGAUUCAAACCAUGAUGGGCACCAAAGUGUUUCAUCGAAAAGUGAAGUCUGGGCAGCAUCCUCCCAGCCGGCUUUUCUUUGCGGAGGAUGACGAUGAAGAACACCUCAAGAAAAAUUGUUUAAUGCAGUGAGGUCAAUUUUGGACACAUAUGUCACACUGGCUGCUUAGAUAUCUUACAUAUCUUUUAAAUGCCUCGGGGUACUAACUACUUCAGUCAUUUAUGUUUUAUCAAUAAUUGUGUCUCCUUCACCCCUGUCAAUAAAAUCAGGGUGUUGAACCGAA